UACGAAGGGGGCUAGCGUUGCUCGGAAUCACUGGGCGUAAAGGGUGCGUAGGCGGGUUAUUAAGUCAGAGGUGAAAUCCUGGAGCUCAACUCCAGAACUGCCUUUGAUACUGAUAGUCUUGAGUAUGGGAGAGGUGAGUGGAACUGCGAGUGUAGAGGUGAAAUUCGUAGAUAUUCGCAAGAACACCAGUGGCGAAGGCGGACUCACUGGCCCAUUACUGACGCUGAGGCACGAAAGCGUGGGGGAGC
rnacentral:rRNA from 1 species